rnacentral:rRNA from 1 species
GACGAACGCUGGCGGCGUGCCUAAUACAUGCAAGUCGAACGCAGUGGGGACGGGUGAGUAACACGUGGGUAACCUCCCAUCAGAGGGGAUAACACUUGGAAACAGGUGCUAAACCGAUACUGAUGGAUGGACCCGCGGUGCAUUAGCUAGUUGGGGGGGUAACGGCUCACCAAGGCCACGAUGCAGAGCCGACCUGUGAGGGUGAUCGGCCACACUGGGACUGAGAGACAGCCCAGACGCCUACGGGAGGCAGCAGUAGGCAAUCUUCGGAGAUGGACGAAAGUCUGUCCAAGCAACGCCGCGUGAGUGAAGAAGGUUUUCGGAUCGUAAAACUCUGUUGUUAGAGAAGCGGUAUCUAACCAGAAAGCCACGGCUAACUACGUGCCAGCAGCCGCGGUAAUUC